GGGCUGGGAGAGCCGCGCGCAGUCUGGGAAGCUAGCGCAUCCCACCCUCAUGGUCUCGUGGGCACUGCGUCUCAUCCUCUCCCGAGUCCCCCUCUCCUAUUCUCUCAUCCUCUCAUGGGCUCACGGCCCUCCCGGCGCUCUCUCUCUCUCUCUCUCUCUCUCUCUCUCAGCGAAAGAAGGCGGCAGCGCUCGGUCUGGCGAGGGAAGGCAGCAGUGGCGCGGCCUUGCCGGCGAGGAAAGUCACGGCGAGUGGCCGACACAGAGGUGUUUUCUUCCUUUCCCUCUUUCCCCUCUCUCUCAGUCUCAUGCCCUCCCAUUUCUCAGCCACUACACAUGGAAGUGGGCUGCCGCCUGCCAGCAGUGGAGGCGCUUGGAAGGGGCUGAAGGUGGCCCGAAAGCUGAGGGCGACGGCUUCUGCAGCGUCCCUACCCUCCCCUGCUCCCGUGGCCUCCCUCUUGCCGGUCGCCAUCGACCUCUGGUGGUGUGGACACUUCCAUGGAGAUGUCCUCAUUGUGUUUCAUGAAAUGGGUAGAAGCACUCCCAGGAUGCCGGCGCUAUGAACCUUGAGAGACUUCAUCACUUGCUACUCCCAUCCAGGCUGAUAUUCUGCAGGAGCACAUGAAGAAAAGUGGUCUUUCAAAGAGGAUCGUGCUGGUUAGUUCUUCCCCUUUACUGAGCAUCUAUAAUGAGAAGGACCAGGUGCCAAGAUCAUAGCUGAUGCUAGACUUUACAAGACAAUUUGUGCCUAAAAAGUAGCAGAUGCCAAGAGCGUCUGCUGUUUCAAAAUCACUAAUGGGAUUGGUCACAACCCCACACCCUCAACAAGGUUAUGCUUGCUAUGGUUGGGAAAUAUACACUGGCCUGCAGGAUUCCUUGUAUUUUCGAAAUUCAGAUAGAAAUCACCUGCAAAGGAGGCACUUUUGAAGACAGAUUACAGUAAAAUAGGAGGUAAAAAUCGAUUUCUAGCUUUGCAUGCUAAUUUUCUUCAUGUACGAUUCUUUAUUUGCCAAUAAUCUUCUCUAAGUAGGUUGGGCAUCUGUAAAUGAUAGUUUUUUUUUUAUCCAUAUUGACAUAUAGUUUGCCUUUUAAUAUGAUGAUAGUCAUGGUUGAUUCAAUCAUACCUUUUCCUACCUUAUAGGAUAUAUUAGCGCUACAGGAUUGAUGUAGGUGAUCUCUUUAUUUUUUCUCAUUUCAUUAGAUUUAACUUAAGUUUGUGCGACAUUCAGAUCAUGUCUUUGUCUCCUAGGGUGCCAUCCCCUAUGAUGUCAUAAACUUGGGCAACCAAUGUGAUCAUGGGUUUCGUCUUGCCCAUGUUCAUGAUUUGCUCCAGAUGAUAUGUAGGUGUUUCUAAUGCACUCGCUUGCUGGUGCUGCAUAAAUUAGUAGUGUCUCAAUCCCGCCAACAGCUCAGGGUGUCGAUCCUGUCGGAGCUGUCCAUCACGCCGGCGUAUUACUGUGGAGGCUGAGAUGGUUCCUUGAGCAAGUAGGAUGAUUAUCUGAGAUUUCUAAAUCCAGAUGAAGUGGAGAUCGCCCAAAUUGAUUAUGUAAUAAGAUCCUGUCAUGUGAUGCUUCCCAUAACUAUCUGCAUCUUGCGGCAUAUUUGUUAUGUAUAAAUGGCUGAAAUGCUAAAAUUUUUGCUAUUAUUAUCUACCAAUUUAUGUACUGUCAAGCCCAUUGUUGGAUACGUAGUAAGUGGAGAGCUACUCACCCUAUUUUGUGGUAUCACUCUAGCUGGUUCUCUUUCCUCUUA